rnacentral:tRNA from 1 species
ACACUGGUGGUUCAGUGGUAGAAUUCUUGCCUUCCAUGCAGGAGACCCAGGUUUGAUUCCCGGCCAAUGCA